rnacentral:lncRNA from 1 species
CUACUCUUAACUUCUCCCCUGGCCCUACAUAUUCUGGCCCACUCCUGUCCUGCUCUUAGUUCUACUUCUUGCUCCUACUCUGGACCCUGCUCUUGGCUCUACUCUUAGUUCUACUCCUGGCUCUACUCUUAGUUCUACUCUUGGCCCUACUCUUAGUUCUACUCCUGGCCCUACUCUUAGUUCUACUCCUGACUCCUUAACUCCUUCAGUCUACUCUUGGCUCUUAGUUCUACUCCUGACGUCUGACUCUUUGGAGCCUACUCUUGGCUCUUAGUUCUACUCCUGGCCCUACUCUUAGUUCUACUACCGGCCCUACUCCUAGUUCUACUCCUGGCCCUACUCUUGGCUCUUUAGUUCUACUCUGGUUCUACCCUUAUUUCUACACCUGGCUCUAUGUAGUCCUGGCCCCACUCCUGGUCCUGCUCUUAGUUCUACUCUUGGCCCUAUUCCUGCCCUACUCUUGGCUCUACUCUUAGUUCUACUCUUGGCUCUACUCUUAGUUCUACUCUUGACUCUACUCUUAGUUCUACUCUUGGCCCUACUCUUGGUUCUACUCCUACUUCUACCCCUGGCCAUACGUAGUCCUGGCCCCACUCCUGCGUUUCCUGCUCUUUAGUGUCUUAUCUUCUUGGCCUACUCCGUGGCCCUGCUCUGGCUCUACUCUUUAGUUUCUGACUCCUGACCUCUACUCUUAGUUCUACUCCUGGCCCUACUCUUAGCUUCUACUUCUGCCCUACUCUUAGUUCUACUUCCUGGCUCACUCCUAGUUCUACUCUUGGGUUCUAUCUAGUCCUACUCUUGGCUCUUAGUUCUACUCUUGGCUCUACUCUUAGUUCUGCUCUUGGCCCUACUCUUGGUUCUACUCCUACUUCUACCCCUGGCCCUACAUAGUUCUGGCCCCCGCAUCUCCUGGGCUGUCCUUGCCUGUCUUAGUUCUACCUC